AGGUGGUGAGACUUCCAUUUUCAUGGAGGACUAUGCAGACCAGGGGAUUGGCCUCACCUGCAGGUCGGAGGGAUGGUUCCCUGAGCCCCAGGUGCUCUGGUUAGACAGUAAAGGACAAAACCGACCAGAAAAGCCUACGACCAGCAACACAAAGACAUCUGUUGGAAUCUACAAUAUUGAAAGUGCCAUUAACAUAGAACCUGGCUCAGACAACGAAGUCUCCUGCAAAAUAAUCAAUAACAUACUAAAGACAGCGAGCGAGUCCAGAGUCCUAAUUUCAGAUGUUUUCUUCCCAACCACCUCCCCUUGGAUGGCUGCUUUCCUGGUCAUUUUAUUUCUUAGCAUAGCCCUUAUUGCUGCUGUAGGGUAUAAAUUGAAAAAUAAUAAUGACACAACAUCUCAAUCAGGUAAGUAACUAGGCAGGUGAAUGCAAAUUAAUAUGAACAUAUCUUAUAUCUUGAUUUUGACACAGUCCCAGAGAGCCUGUGGAAUUCCCAUCACUGGAGAGUUUUUAGAACAGGUUCGACAAACACUUGUCAGAGAUGGUCUCGGUUUACUUGGUCUUCCCUCAGCACGGAGGGUGGGACUGGAUGACUUCUCAAGGUCCCUUUCACCCCCUACAUUUCUCUGAUUUUAGAAUAAAAGUUUAACAUAUAGUUGCUGUUCUGAUCUGAGAAACUGUUUAUAAAUUACAGGAGAUGGGUGGGUUUGUUCUGUUUUAAUUGUGGUCAACAGCUGUGUGCUUUUAACGUUUGCAGUAUGCAUCCAAUGAUUUCAUAGGAGUUGGGGUUUAUAUUCAGGAAUUGAGCAACAGUGACUAUUGCCAUUAGUGGCUCAUUAGGAAAGUUUGUUUCCUUCUGUUAUAAACAGAUCUUGUUAUUAAAAUAGAUCACAUUCAGGCUAGCCUUCUGCCAUUCAUCCUUAUGUGGACAUUGUUCCAGAAUCAUUAACAGUUGUAGAAAAGGGUUGCUCAUCUACAUGAUAUAGACUGGGUAAAGUAUAAAAUUCAAGGCCUUUUAUAACAUAGGCAUUGGAAACAGGAGUGAUUACCUCCUGCUGGUUGUCUGCCUUGGAAUUAUGUUUGGCCAUAGUGGAUUUGCUCUUGGUCCACAAGAUUCAUUCAGGACUAGGGAAAGACCUGGACUUAUUUAAAAAGCUGGGUGAGCAUCUAGCUCCUCUGAUCACUCAUUUCUCUUGUGGGUAUUCAUGGGGUAUCCUAGAAAUUUCAGCAUCCCAUAAUAUUUCUCUGGUAAAAAAAAAUCUUCCUCAAUUAAAGUUUCACUUUAGUCUUCUUCAGCAGAUUUUAAGUCUCAUGAUUGGUUCUAUUUAUUUCACUUCACCGACACUUAAUUGUUUUGGACUCCUUCCUUAAUUUUUCAGAUCUCCCAAAACUUCACUCUGAUGCCCCACUUUUCCCACCCCAAUCUUUGUACCAGUUGAUAUCUGAUCCUAUUCACUGAUGGCUUUGUCUGGCUCACUCAGAAGCUGUCCUGUAAAGUCAGAGGAUGUGGGUUGGGGGGAUAUGCUGAGGCAAGGGGUCUCUAUAAGCAUCCUGACAUUUUCACAGAUGACAGGCCAUCCGUUGCUUUAUGUCGUCAGAUUCUCUGCAUAAUCAGUGAACUGGAAGAAACCAUCUUCCAAUACAGUGAAUGAGGAGAUGAUCUUCAAGUGAAACAAUUUGUUCCUGUCUCCUAAAGCAGGUUUUUCCUAAAUGGAGAGAAUCUGGUCCUGUAUUUUAAAGCUGUUUUGUGGUUGAAAUAAGGCCUUGGGAAACUUAUAAGAGUAAUUAACAUUGCAAUGUGAUUCCAUGUAUUUGCAGUAACUGAGAAGAAUACAAUGGAAGAAGGUAAAUAUAUUUUUGAUGUGAUAUAACAUAAGGUGUUAGGAGUAUUUCCAUGAGUCAGAUUCAUGGCGACAGUAUUACAUAGCAUGCUGAAAUUUUCCAAGACAUUAACCACAGAGGUAUCAGUCCUUACCCAGGUAAAGGAAUC